AAAAAGGGAGCUUCCAAGGGCAGUUUCAGAUUUUGAGUUGAAACUCUAACAACAGGAACUCGGAAGAUGUCUCAAGACUCAGCAGAAGCAACCUGCUCCAAGAAACUGUUAUCUGAAGUCUUAGAUGCUCUUAAUGACUGCACUGUACUUAAGGAUUGCGAUACGCAUACUGCAAAAAUGAUUUCUGAGUACAAAAAUUUCAAGCCUGCAAGGAGCUUGGAAUUGCUAAUCGAACGGUUUUCCUCUGGAGGGGAAGCUCAGUCACCAACAGCUUUCAUUGAAGAUAUGAAAACCUUAAUUUCUUGGAGUAACAAUGUCGAAGAAUUGAACACAUAUAUUGAGAAGUUAAAUCAAUGGUAUAGUAAAAGACCCUUCAUUUAUUGGCUUAGCACAUUAAUAUGGGAGACAAAACGUGAAAAGAGGAAUCGAAAGUACAUAAAACGAUAUUCGACGAUUCUAAAAAAGGUCAGUCCUCUUGAGAAGAGGUAUGAUAUUAAAAUAUCAGGCACUGCAACUGAGGUUAUAACCUAUUCGCGGCUGCGAUUUUUAUUUCCUAAUUUAUUAGGCUUAACGUCGAAUGGAACUUACGGUGAAAACGAUUUCAUUCCCCAAAUGUUUGGCGCUCCUGAAUUCGGAGGAUUGAUACCUUCACACUAUUUCAAAGCUAAAGAUGCAAUCAUCACGCUUCACCUUUGCUGCUUGCGGCUUUUGGAUCCGAAAACCACUUUUUACCUUCAUCAUCUAUUCUUAAAGAAGCGAAUUGACGAGGGAUUACUUUCAGACGGGACAAGGUUCAAUUUUCUUUUGGCGCAAGGAAUAAUACAGCCGGAUGGUGAUAUGACCGGAAAAUUUCGGAUUGUCCACGAAACUAGGUGCAGACUCUACGGUAACAUCGAUGCCGAAAUAGCAGAGGUUGAAAAAAUAAAUGGAUUUAGUUUAGCUCAAAACCAUCAGGAAGAGCACGCGUUUGCUUCAGCAACAGCGUCGGACGGGCCCGAAAAAACGGCCUAUGAGUACUGGGACUGGGAGUCCUGGCGAGCCGACUUUCACAAACUUCACGGUAUCUAAUAAGGAAGUAACAUUGGACUACAGUGUCUCCUAGACUGCAAAGAAGUAAAUUACGAAGCAAAACACAUGAGCUACUUCCUGGUUGGUCAGCAAAGUUUUGUUUUAAGAGUCAAUGUUAAUCAACGCCCAAUCGCUACGAUUUUCUCAAUCCUCUAUAAAAUUAUUCAAUUUUCCAUUUGUUUGCAUUUCGAAGAGGAACCCCAACUGCCACUUGGUUUCUUUGUAUUUAUUCGGUUCAACUACUUUUCCAAUGAGUAGGCAUGUACCAUAUUCCUAUUAUGAUUUUUGAUUGAACAAAUUUUGAUUGUUCUACCAAUAUUGACCUAUUCGGUAAAAUAAAAACCCAACAUCUUAUAGCUUUAAUAAAAUGAAUUCGGUUAGAACACCAAUCGUUUUAAUUGACCCUUCUCUCGGUCUCUUUUCCCCUAUUCUAGAAGAAGGGGG
rnacentral:lncRNA from 1 species